ACGAACGCUGGCGGCGUGCCUAAUACAUGCAAGUCGAACGCUUCUUUUUCCACCGGAGCUUGCUCCACCGGAAAAAGAGGAGUGGCGAACGGGUGAGUAACACGUGGGUAACCUGCCCAUCAGAAGGGGAUAACACUUGGAAACAGGUGCUAAUACCGUAUAACAAUCGAAACCGCAUGGUUUUGAUUUGAAAGGCGCUUUCGGGUGUCGCUGAUGGAUGGACCCGCGGUGCAUUAGCUAGUUGGUGAGGUAACGGCUCACCAAGGCGACGAUGCAUAGCCGACCUGAGAGGGUGAUCGGCCACAUUGGGACUGAGACACGGCCCAAACUCCUACGGGAGGCAGCAGUAGGGAAUCUUCGGCAAUGGACGAAAGUCUGACCGAGCAACGCCGCGUGAGUGAAGAAGGUUUUCGGAUCGUAAAACUCUGUUGUUAGAGAAGAACAAGGAUGAGAGUAACUGUUCAUCCCUUGACGGUAUCUAACCAGAAAGCCACGGCUAACUACGUGCCAGCAGCCGCGGUAAUACGUAGGUGGCAAGCGUUGUCCGGAUUUAUUGGGCGUAAAGCGAGCGCAGGCGGUUUCUUAAGUCUGAUGUGAAAGCCCCCGGCUCAACCGGGGAGGGUCAUUGGAAACUGGGAGACUUGAGUGCAGAAGAGGAGAGUGGAAUUCCAUGUGUAGCGGUGAAAUGCGUAGAUAUAUGGAGGAACACCAGUGGCGAAGGCGGCUCUCUGGUCUGUAACUGACGCUGAGGCUCGAAAGCGUGGGGAGCAAACAGGAUUAGAUACCCUGGUAGUCCACGCCGUAAACGAUGAGUGCUAAGUGUUGGAGGGUUUCCGCCCUUCAGUGCUGCAGCUAACGCAUUAAGCACUCCGCCUGGGGAGUACGACCGCAAGGUUGAAACUCAAAGGAAUUGACGGGGGCCCGCACAAGCGGUGGAGCAUGUGGUUUAAUUCGAAGCAACGCGAAGAACCUUACCAGGUCUUGACAUCCUUUGACCACUCUAGAGAUAGAGCUUCCCCUUCGGGGGCAAAGUGACAGGUGGUGCAUGGUUGUCGUCAGCUCGUGUCGUGAGAUGUUGGGUUAAGUCCCGCAACGAGCGCAACCCUUAUUGUUAGUUGCCAUCAUUUAGUUGGGCACUCUAGCAAGACUGCCGGUGACAAACCGGAGGAAGGUGGGGAUGACGUCAAAUCAUCAUGCCCCUUAUGACCUGGGCUACACACGUGCUACAAUGGCCACGACAGAGAGAAGCGAAAUCGUAAGGUAGAGCGGAACUCAAAAAAGUGGUCCCGGUUCGGAUUGUGGGCUGCAACCCGCCCACAUGAAGUCGGAGUUGCUAGUAAUCGCGGAUCAGCACGCCGCGGUGAAUACGUUCCCGGGCCUUGUACACACCGCCCGUCACACCACGAGAGUUUGUAACACCCGAAGUCGGUGAGGUAACCUUUUGGAGCCAGCCGCCUAAGGUGGGAUAGAUGAUUGGGGUG
rnacentral:rRNA from 1 species